rnacentral:rRNA from 1 species
UUCUGCCCUAUCAACUUGUUGGUAUGGUAGUGGCCUACCAAGGUUUCGACGGGUAACGGGGAAUCAGGGUUCGAUUCCGGAGAGGGAGCCUGAGAAACGGCUACCACUUCCAAGGAAGGCAGCAGGCGCGCAAAUUAUCCAAUCCAGACAUUGGGAGGUAGUGACGAGAAAUACCGAGGUGGGCUAUAGUUCACUAUCGGAAUGAACGUAAUUUUAAACCUUCGAUGAGUAACAACUGGAGGGCAAGUCUGGUGCCAGCAGCCGCGGUAAUUCCAGCUCCAGUAGUGUAUAUCAAAAUUGUUGCGGUUAAAACGCUCGUAGUUGGAUGUCAAAGACGCGUGUACGGUACCGUACUAACGAGUGCCUGCAUGCGUCUUUUACUUGCAGGUACCUGUUGUGAGCUUUAAUGCUUGUUUCCGGUCCCUUGCAAAGCGUGCCUUGAAUAAAGCAGAGUGCUUAAAGCAAGCGUAACGCUAGUAUGUAAUAGCAUGGAACGAACAAACCGAUUCUGGUUCAGUUGGUUGGUAAAUGCGGGAACUUGUUCCCGUUCUGAACCGGGUCCUGAUUAAAAGGGACAUUUGAGGGCGUUAGUAUUUAGUGGCAAGAGGUGAAAUUCUACGACCCACUAAGGACUCACUAAUGCGAAAGCAUUCGCCAAGAGUGUUUUCAUUAAUCAAGAACGAAAGUUAGAGGUUCGAAGACGAUCAGAUACCGUCCUAGUUCUAUACAGUAAACUAUGCCAACACGGGGUCAGUUCGAAAGUGAUUCAAGUUGGUCCCCCCGGGAAACCUAAAGUCUUCGGGUUUCGGGGAGAGUACAGUCGCAAGUCUGAAAUUUAAAGGAAUUGACGGAAAGGCACCACCAGGAGUGGAGCCUGCGGCUUAAUUUGACUCAACACGGGACAACUCACCAGGUCCGAACAUCGGCAGGAUUGACAGACUGAUAGAUCUUUCAUGAUUUGAUGAUUGGUGGUGCAUGGCCGUUCUUAGUUGGUGGAGUGAUCUGUCAGGUUUAUUCCGGUAACGAGCGAGACCACUUUGUCUAGUUUAUGGCCCUGCCGGUUGCUUGCAGCCGACUGCGGAUACUAGACAGACAACCGGAAACAAGCCGGGGGAAGCGUGGCAAUAACAGGUCUGUGAUGCCCUUUGAUGUUCUGGGCUGCACGCGCGCUACAAUGGUAGUGACAAAGAGAUGCGUUGCCGAUAGGCACUGCAAACCUUUAAUGGCUAUCUUGAUUGGGAUUGAGCCUUGUAAUAAUUGCUCAUGAAAUAGGAAUCCCUUGUAAAUACGAGUCACCAACUCGUGUUGAAUAUGUCUCUGCCCUUUGUACACACCGCCCGUCGCUACUACUGAUUGAACUGAUUUUUGAAGUGUAGAGAUUGGCAGAUUGCCUCUUGAGGUAGUCAAGUCGAGAACCACUCUAAAAAAAUCAU